rfam:Erythranthe guttata cultivar DTN x IM62 scaffold_27_contig_38, whole genome shotgun sequence.
GUUGAUGUAGCCAAGUGGAUCAAGGCAAUGGAUUGCCAAUCCACCACGAGCGGGUUCAAUUCCCGUCGUUCGCC